rnacentral:snoRNA from 1 species
AUUCCAUGAUGGGGACAUUCUAGGAUGUAGUCUUGAAAGCGCUCCCAUGCUUCUGGAACAAAUUCAUCAUUUUGUUGCUGAAAACUUGUAAUCUUCCCACAGAGAGC